UGGGGAAUAUUGGACAAUGGGCGAAAGCCUGAUCCAGCCAUGCCGCGUGUGUGAAGAAGGUCUUCGGAUUGUAAAGCACUUUAAGUUGGGAGGAAGGGCAGUAAACGAAUACCUUGCUGUUUUGACGUUACCGACAGAAUAAGCACCGGCUAACUCUGUGCCAGCAGCCGCGGUAAUACAGAGGGUGCAAGCGUUAAUCGGAAUUACUGGGCGUAAAGCGCGCGUAGGUGGUUCGUUAAGUUGAAUGUGAAAGCCCCGGGCUCAACCUGGGAACUGCAUCCAAAACUGGCGAGCUAGAGUAGGGCAGAGGGUGGUGGAAUUUACUGUGUAGCGGUGAAAUGCGUAGAUAUAGGAAGGAACACCAGUGGCGAAGGCGACCACCUGGGCUCAUACUGACACUGAGGUGCGAAAGCGUGGGGAGCAAACAGG
rnacentral:rRNA from 1 species